CCCAGUUUAGACGGCUAAAAGCUAGUUAAAUAGGACAUUCUCAGUAAUGUAGCACACAUGGUCUGUUCCAGUGUGACUAGAGCUAUCAUUUGACACCGUUUCAAUAGACAAUGGAGCUUUUCUGCGAUUUUUAUGCACCCCCAGACAAAUUUGACAAACAAAGCUAAAUUGAAUUUGUUACAAAAACGACCCAGUUUAGACGGCUAAAAGCUAGUUAAAUAGGACAUUCUCAGUAAUGUAGCACACAUGGUCUGUUCCAGUGUGACUAGAGCUAUCAUUUGACACCGUUUCAAUAGACAAUGGAGCUUUUCUGCGAUUUUUAUGCACCCCCAGACAAAUUUGACAAAGCUAAAUUGAAUUUGAUACAAAAACGACCCAGUUUAGAGGGCUAAAAGCUAGUUAAAUAGGACAUUCUCAGUAAUGUAGCACACAUGGUCUGUUCCAGUGUGACGAGAGCUAUCAUUUGACACCGUUUCAAUAGACAAUGGAGCUUUUCUGCGAUUUUUAUGCACCCUCAGACAAAUUUGACAAACAAAGCUAAAUUGAAUUUGAUACAAAAACGACCCAGUUUAGAGGGCUAAAAGCUAGUUAAAUAGGACAUUCUCAGUAAUGUAGCACACAUGGUCUGUUCCAGUGUGAUUAGAGCUAUCAUUUGACACCGUUUCAAUAGACAAUGGAGCUUUUCUGCGAUUUUUAUGCACCCUCAGACAAAUUUGACAAACAAAGCUAAAUUGAAUUUGAUACAAAACCGACCCAGUUUAGAGGGCUAAAAGCUAGUUAAAUAGGACAUUCUCAGUAAUGUAGCACACAUGGUCUGUUCCAGUGUGAUUAGAGCUAUCAUUUGACACCGUUUCAAUAGACAAUGGAGCUUUUCUGCGAUUUUUAUGCACCCCCAGACAAAUUUGACAAACAAAGCUAAAUUGAAUUUGAUACAAAAACGACCCAGUUUAGAGGGCUAAAAGCUAGUUAAAUAGGACAUUCUCAGUAAUGUAGCACACAUGGUCUGUUCCAGUGUGACUAGAGCUAUCAUUUGACACCGUUUCAAUAGACAAUGGAGCUUUUCUGCGAUUUUUAUGCACCCCCAGACAAAUUUGACAAACAAAGCUAAAUUGAAUUUGAUACAAAAACGACCCAGUUUAGAGGGCUAAAUGCUAGUUAAAUAGGACAUUCUCAGUAAUGUAGCACACAUGGUCUGUUCCAGUGUGACUAGAGCUAUCAUUUGACACCGUUUCAAUAGACAAUGGAGCUUUUCUGCGAUUUUUCUGCACCCUCAGACAAAUUUGACAAACAAAGCUAAAUUGAAUUUGAUAGAAAAACGACCCAGUUUAGAGGGCUAAAAGCUAGUUAAAUAGGACAUUCUCAGUAAUGUAGCACACAUGGUCUGUUCCAGUGUGACUAGAGCUAUCAUUUGACACCGUUUCAAUAGACAAUGGAGCUUUUCUGCGAUUUUUAUGCACCCCCAGACAAAUUUGACAAACAAAGCUAAAUUGAAUUUGAUACAAAAACGACCCAGUUUAGAGGGCUAAAAGCUAGUUAAAUAGGACAUUCUCAGUAAUGUAGCACACAUGGUCUGUUCCAGUGUGACUAGAGCUAUCAUUUGACACCGUUUCAAUAGACAAUGGAGCUUUUCUGCGAUUUUUAUGCACCCCCAGACAAAUUUGACAAACAAAGCUAAAUUGAAUUUGAUACAAAAACGACCCAGUUUAGAGGGCUAAAAGCUAGUUAAAUAGGACAUUCUCAGUAAUGUAGCACACAUGGUCUGUUCCAGUGUGACUAGAGCUAUCAUUUGACACCGUUUCAAUAGACAAUGGAGCUUUUCUGCAAUUUUUAUGCACCCUCAGACAAAUUUGACAAACAAAGCUAAAUUGAAUUUGAUACAAAAACGACCCAGUUUAGAGGGCUAAAAGCUAGUUAAAUAGAACAUUCUCAGUAAUGUAGCACACAUGGUCUGUUCCGGUGUGACUAGAGCUAUCAUUUGACACCGUUUCAAUAGACAAUGGAGCUUUUCUGCAAUUUUUAUGCACCCCCAGACAAAUUUGACAAAAAAAGCUAAAUUGAAUUUGUUACAAAAACGACCCAGUUUAGAGGGCUAAAAGCUAUUUAAAUAGGACAUUCUCAGUAAGGUAGCACACAUGGUCUGUUCCAGUGUGACUAGAGCUAUCAUUUGACACCUUUUCAAUAGACAAUGGAGCUUUUCUGCAAUUUUUAUGCACCCCCAGACAAAUUUGACAAACAAAGCUAAAUUGAAUUUGAUACAAAAACGACCCAGUUUAGAGGGCUAAAAGCUAGUUAAAUAGAACAUUCUCAGUAAUGUAGCACACAUGGUCUGUUCCAGUGUGACUAGAGCUAUCAUUUGACACCGUUUCAAUAGACAAUGGAGCUUUUCUGCAAUUUUUCUGCACCCUCAGACAAAUUUGACAAACAAAGCUAAAUUGAAUUUGAUACAAAAACGACCCAGUUUAGAGGGCUAAAAGCUAUUUAACCUCUUGGGGCUAGGUGGGACGCUAGCGUGCCACCCGUGGUGCACUCCAUCAACAGCAGGUGCAUUUCAAGAGCGGCA
rnacentral:lncRNA from 1 species